AGGAAAUUCAUGAGUGCUAACAUGAGCUUGCGAUGUCAGAUCCACAAAAAGAACAUAUAAGGACUGGAUCUUUUUGCUGUUUAUUAUGGCAGACAUUUCAGGAGAGGGCAGGCCAAUUCAGAUAUCAGAAAUAAGAGAUUAACAGAGUGUAAGUAGGUCUGGGAAGGGGAAAGGAAGCACCUGCAUGUUCACCGUGGUUUCUAAGAAGAGGGGAGAAGUGAACAGCUGACCAGGUCAAUGUGAAGUUCAGAAAAAGAGGAGUCCCUUCACCUGAUUACGAAAACAACAUACCAACCUCGGGAAUUUUCCCUCUGUCUAUUUUUAUUGAGACAUUUCAAAAAUAAUUUCUGUACACAGAUGUCAGGACCCUCACAACGAUUGUGGCUGGUUACUAAUACAAAUAAUUGAUGUUCUCUUUGAUGAUAGCAAACUGUGUUCCGCCCACACGUAGAACCCGAGCAGGUGCAAUAACAGGC